rnacentral:rRNA from 1 species
AUUGAACGCUGGCGGCAUGCUUUACACAUGCAAGUCGAACGGUAACAGGUUAAGCUGACGAGUGGCGAACGGGUGAGUAAUGCAUCGGAACGUGCCCGAUCGUGGGGGAUAACGCAGCGAAAGCUGCGCUAAUACCGCAUACGAUAUGAGGAUGAAAGCGGGGGACCGUAAGGCCUCGCGCGAUCGGAGCGGCCGAUGUCAGAUUAGGUAGUUGGUGGGGUAAAGGCUCACCAAGCCGACGAUCUGUGGCUGGUCUGAGAGGACGACCAGCCACACUGGGACUGAGACACGGCCCAGACUCCUACGGGAGGCAGCAGUGGGGAAUUUUGGACAAUGGGCGCAAGCCUGAUCCAGCAAUGCCGCGUGCAGGAAGAAGGCCUUCGGGUUGUAAACUGCUUUUGUACGGAGCGAAAAGGCUCUCUCUAAUACAGGGGGCUCAUGACGGUACCGUAAGAAUAAGCACCGGCUAACUACGUGCCAGCCGCCGCCGUAA